GCCUCCGCUUCCUUCCCGUGGCUUCUGGAGUCUUCUAGAUGUAAAAUAAUUGCGCGUCAUGUUGAUAUCUCUAUGUAAUCCCGACGUGUGGGCCUUUCUUCCGUAUUUCCUGAUAACCUCCUGUAGAAAUAGACAAACACCAAAACUCAUAGAAUUCUGUCAGAUAAAAUCCUAAGUCUAGAUGUUGAUUUCAUUUAGAUCCUUUUCUUUGUUUAUUUGAUAAUUAAAUUUGAUACUUAAGGACCGUCAACAAACUCCCCCAAGCUUACCUCUUGCUCGUCCCUGAGCAAGGAUAGACUCAGCAAUGGAUCAGAAGUUGUUGCAAUAUCUUAAAAAUU
rnacentral:lncRNA from 1 species